CCUACGGGAGACAGCAGUGAGGAAUAUUGGUCAAUGGACGAGAGUCUGAACCAGCCAAGUAGCGUGAAGGAUGACUGCCCUAUGGGUUGUAAACUUCUUUUAUAUGGGAAUAAAACGUUCCACGUGUGGGAUUUUGUAUGUAACAUAUGAAUAAGGAUCGGCUAACUACGUGCCAGCAGCCGCGGUAAUACGGAGGAUCCGAGCGUUAUCCGGAUUUAUUGGGUUUAAAGGGAGCGUAGGUGGAUUGUUAAGUCAGUUGUGAAAGUUUGCGGCUCAACCGUAAAAUUGCAGUUGAAACUGGCAGUCUUGAGUACAGUAGAGGUGAGCGGAAUUCGUGGUGUAGCGGUGAAAUGCUUAGAUAUCACGAAGAACUCCGAUUGCGAAGGCAGUUCACUGGACUGCAACUGACACUGAGGCUCGAAAGUGUGGGUAUCAAACAGGAUUAGAUACCCGAGUAGUC
rnacentral:rRNA from 1 species